rnacentral:rRNA from 1 species
UUAAGCGACUAAGCGUACACGGUGGAUGCCCUGGCAGUCAGAGGCGAUGAAGGACGUGCUAAUCUGCGAUAAGCGUCGGUGAGGUGAUAUGAACCGUUAUAACCGGCGAUUUCCGAAUGGGGAAACCCAGUGUGUUUCGACACACUAUCAUUAACUGAAUCCAUAGGUUAAUGAGGCGAACCGGGGGAACUGAAACAUCUAAGUACCCCGAGGAAAAGAAAUCAACCGAGAUUCCCCCAGUAGCGGCGAGCGAACGGGGAGGAGCCCAGAGCCUGAAUCAGUGUGUGUGUUAGUGGAAGCGUCUGGAAAGGCGUGCGAUACAGGGUGACAGCCCCGUACACAAAAAUGCACAUAUUGUGAGCUCGAUGAGUAGGGCGGGACACGUGGUAUCCUGUCUGAAUAUGGGGGGACCAUCCUCCAAGGCUAAAUACUCCUGACUGACCGAUAGUGAACCAGUACCGUGAGGGAAAGGCGAAAAGAACCCCGGCGAGGGGAGUGAAAAAGAACCUGAAACCGUGUACGUACAAGCAGUGGGAGCCUCUUAAUGGGGUGACUGCGUACCUUUUGUAUAAUGGGUCAGCGACUUAUAUUCUGUAGCAAGGUUAACCGAAUAGGGGAGCCGAAGGGAAACCGAGUCUUAACUGGGCGUUAAGUUGCAGGGUAUAGACCCGAAACCCGGUGAUCUAGCCAUGGGCAGGUUGAAGGUUGGGUAACACUAACUGGAGGACCGAACCGACUAAUGUUGAAAAAUUAGCGGAUGACUUGUGGCUGGGGGUGAAAGGCCAAUCAAACCGGGAGAUAGCUGGUUCUCCCCGAAAGCUAUUUAGGUAGCGCCUCGUGAAUUCAUCUCCGGGGGUAGAGCACUGUUUCGGCAAGGGGGUCAUCCCGACUUACCAACCCGAUGCAAACUGCGAAUACCGGAGAAUGUUAUCACGGGAGACACACGGCGGGUGCUAACGUCCGUCGUGAAGAGGGAAACAACCCAGACCGCCAGCUAAGGUCCCAAAGUCAUGGUUAAGUGGGAAACGAUGUGGGAAGGCCCAGACAGCCAGGAUGUUGGCUUAGAAGCAGCCAUCAUUUAAAGAAAGCGUAAUAGCUCACUGGUCGAGUCGGCCUGCGCGGAAGAUGUAACGGGGCUAAACCAUGCACCGAAGCUGCGGCAGCGACACUAUGUGUUGUUGGGUAGGGGAGCGUUCUGUAAGCCUGUGAAGGUGGCCUGUGAGGGUUGCUGGAGGUAUCAGAAGUGCGAAUGCUGACAUAAGUAACGAUAAAGCGGGUGAAAAGCCCGCUCGCCGGAAGACCAAGGGUUCCUGUCCAACGUUAAUCGGGGCAGGGUGAGUCGACCCCUAAGGCGAGGCCGAAAGGCGUAGUCGAUGGGAAACAGGUUAAUAUUCCUGUACUUGGUGUUACUGCGAAGGGGGGACGGAGAAGGCUAUGUUGGCCGGGCGACGGUUGUCCCGGUUUAAGCGUGUAGGCUGGUUUUCCAGGCAAAUCCGGAAAACCAAGGCUGAGGCGUGAUGACGAGGCACUACGGUGCUGAAGCGACAAAUGCCCUGCUUCCAGGAAAAGCCUCUAAGCAUCAGGUAACAUCAAAUCGUACCCCAAACCGACACAGGUGGUCAGGUAGAGAAUACCAAGGCGCUUGAGAGAACUCGGGUGAAGGAACUAGGCAAAAUGGUGCCGUAACUUCGGGAGAAGGCACGCUGAUAUGUAGGUGAAGCGACUUGCUCGUGGAGCUGAAAUCAGUCGAAGAUACCAGCUGGCUGCAACUGUUUAUUAAAAACACAGCACUGUGCAAACACGAAAGUGGACGUAUACGGUGUGACGCCUGCCCGGUGCCGGAAGGUUAAUUGAUGGGGUUAGCGGCAACGCGAAGCUCUUGAUCGAAGCCCCGGUAAACGGCGGCCGUAACUAUAACGGUCCUAAGGUAGCGAAAUUCCUUGUCGGGUAAGUUCCGACCUGCACGAAUGGCGUAAUGAUGGCCAGGCUGUCUCCACCCGAGACUCAGUGAAAUUGAACUCGCUGUGAAGAUGCAGUGUACCCGCGGCAAGACGGAAAGACCCCGUGAACCUUUACUAUAGCUUGACACUGAACAUUGAGCCUUGAUGUGUAGGAUAGGUGGGAGGCUUUGAAGUGUGGACGCCAGUCUGCAUGGAGCCGACCUUGAAAUACCACCCUUUAAUGUUUGAUGUUCUAACGUUGGCCCGUAAUCCGGGUUGCGGACAGUGUCUGGUGGGUAGUUUGACUGGGGCGGUCUCCUCCUAAAGAGUAACGGAGGAGCACGAAGGUUGGCUAAUCCUGGUCGGACAUCAGGAGGUUAGUGCAAUGGCAUAAGCCAGCUUGACUGCGAGCGUGACGGCGCGAGCAGGUGCGAAAGCAGGUCAUAGUGAUCCGGUGGUUCUGAAUGGAAGGGCCAUCGCUCAACGGAUAAAAGGUACUCCGGGGAUAACAGGCUGAUACCGCCCAAGAGUUCAUAUCGACGGCGGUGUUUGGCACCUCGAUGUCGGCUCAUCACAUCCUGGGGCUGAAGUAGGUCCCAAGGGUAUGGCUGUUCGCCAUUUAAAGUGGUACGCGAGCUGGGUUUAGAACGUCGUGAGACAGUUCGGUCCCUAUCUGCCGUGGGCGCUGGAGAACUGAGGGGGGCUGCUCCUAGUACGAGAGGACCGGAGUGGACGCAUCACUGGUGUUCGGGUUGUCAUGCCAAUGGCACUGCCCGGUAGCUAAAUGCGGAAGAGAUAAGUGCUGAAAGCAUCUAAGCACGAAACUUGCCCCGAGAUGAGUUCUCCCUGU